UACGUAGGGGCAAGCGUUGUCCGGAUUUAUUGGGCGUAAAGAGCGUGUAGGCGGCCUGAAAGGUCAGCUGUGAAAACUCGAGGCUCAACCUCGAGACGUCGGUUGAAACCAUCUGGCUAGAGUCCGGAAGAGGAGUGGUGGAAUUCCCGGUGUAGCGGUGAAAUGACGCAGAUAUCGGGAAGAACACCCGUGCGAAGGCGGCACUCUGGGACGGUACUGACGCUGA
rnacentral:rRNA from 1 species